CGUAAAGCGACACAAUGUCUCCAAUAUGAAGAAAACUAGAUCUGUUGUCUGACAUUUUCGCUUAAUUCUGUCCAAAAGUUGGCUUUCCAGACAAAUAUUUUCCUGCCCUCGCGGAAGAGUUGAGCUCUUCUCCAACACCCUCUAUCCAUGAUGAGCCCGUCAUGUACUGAAGACAUCAACCCGUCCUGUCAUGUCCUGAAGCCAAGCCUCUGAACACAUCGAGUCUCGCAGCACUCGGACUGGUCAGACACCAAACGAUAUCCUGUACCUGGCAGCAGCUUCCAUGGUCAACAUGGACAGCCUGAUCCCCCAGCAUCUGUCCAUACAGUACCACCUGCUGGCUUGUGAAAAAUAAAGACCCAUUGUACCUUG